rnacentral:lncRNA from 1 species
UUGUGGCUAUUGCAGUAGCACCUCGAUUGGUAUUUAUUACUCGGGAGCUCUCACCUCCUAGAUAUGUCAAGGUCAAUUUCCAUGGCAGUGUCAAAGGUAGUAGAAGGGGCAUGAGAUUUUAUGAUCUGUGGCCCAGAUUUCAGAUUUCUAGCCAUCGAUGGUCGUCACCUCAUUGGUAGCAUGGUCCUGGUAGUUGAGUUUCGGGUAGUGUGGGUAGAUAUUACCUUUGUUAGACUGAGGUUUGGUGCUGCG